rnacentral:rRNA from 1 species
GGUUUUUAGAAAUUAUUAAAAAUCAAACCUGCUCAAUGCUUAGUAAAUAGCCGCGGUAUCUUGACCGUGCAAAGGUAGCAUAAUCAUUAGCCUUAUAAUUGAAGGCUGGAAUGAAUGGUUUAACUAAAUUAUAUUGUCUCAUAAUUAUACCUUUAACUUUACAUUUUAGUAAAAAGGCUAAAAUAUUUUUUAGGGACAAGAAGACCCUAUUGAGCUUUACAAAAAAAAUUAUUUUUCAUAAAGUAAUUUUAAUUUGUUUUACUGGGGCAGUAAGAAAAUAAAAAUUUUUAUCUAAAUAUUAUGAAUAAUUAUUCUUAUCAAACCAAAAAAUUUUUAAGAAAAAACAAGUUACCGUAGGGAUAACAGCGUAAUUUUUCUCUUGAGAACAUAUCCACAGAAAAGUUUGCGACCUCGAUGUUGGAUUAAGAGCCCUUCUCCACGCAAUAGUGAAAAAAGGAAGUCUGUUCGACUUUUAAAUUCUUCCA